CUGGUCUAGAGGGAGCUGUCCCCGCUUAUAGAGGGGGGUUGGAACUGGAUGAUCUUAAAGGUUCCUUCCAACCCAAACCAUUCUAUGAUCCUAUGAUUCUACGAUCUUUGAAGGUCUCUUCCAUCUCAACUAUUCUAAUUCUAAAAUCGUUGUAGCAAAGUUAAAAACUGCUUGGCACAGAAGACAGCUGCAAUUCAGAGCUCCUUCCAGUGCACAGUGCAAGCAGCAGAGGGAAACUGCUUUAAGCAUUCUUUAAAAUCACAUUCCUACGUCCGAGUUGCUAACCUUUACACUUUACAGUUUUUCUUUCUGAAGCAAUGUUAAAAGCAUCUCAGCUUUAAUCAAAUUCUCAAAUCAUUGACCACUCUGAAAAACUGAAAGUGAAAUAAAAAUUAAGAUAUAACAAGAAUCAGAAGCACGGCGCAGUUUUUUUUGACAUUUCUGUCAGCUACAGCAAUGAAUGGUGACAAAGCAAGAUGAACAUUUGAGGAAGGAAAUCAAAUUGUAGCUCUACUCUUAUUUUAGGCUAUUUCACGUCUGAUUGUUUUCAAAAGCAGGAGGACGACGAGACUGGUUGUGUAACUCCACCCGAAGAACUGCCAGGAUCGUUGUUUAUGAGCGUGACCCAAACACCGGAACUGCUUCCUUACCUACAGAGUGUUGCAAUCCCGGAAAUACCAUGGGAUGUCUUCACCGACAUCUCCUUCCCAUCAGCACCACGUGCACUGAAAAGAACAUCCUGGGAGAUACAGGACUGAGAACUUAGGACGGCGGAUAAUUAUCCCAUGGGCUGCGAGUGUUUCCCUCCAUAGAAUCGUGGUCACCAAGGGUCAGCCAGGAAGAUGGAUGUACCUUAGUAAAAGUGAGUCAUUCACUGAACCUAGGCCAAACUCUGAAGCAAAUCUGGGCCAGUUUAUUGCCUUGGGAGGAAACCUGGUUUUUGCAUGAAUUAGAUGUGAAAAUAAGCAGAGCCUGACUGACAUCUUCUCUGAAUUCCAUCUGCAAGGGUAAAACCCAACGGGCAAGAGCCUGAGGCAUGACAAAAAUGAGGAGGGGAAAAUGAGGCUUCCUGUCUAUCCUCCAAGAACCAGAGACACAUGUUACUCAAACCCAGUGUAAACUGUUAAUUAUUCAGAUGCUAAUUAACCAAUGUUUAUAAAUGUCUUAUAUAUGUAAA